rnacentral:rRNA from 1 species
UACGUAGGGACCAAGCGUUGUUCGGAUUUACUGGGCGUAAAGGGCGCGUAGGCGGCGUGUUAAGUCAGCUGUGAAAUCUCCAAGCUUAACUUGGAACGGUCAGCUGAUACUGAUGUGCUAGAGUGCAGAAGGGGCAAUCGGAAUUCUUGGUGUAGCGGUGAAAUGCGUAGAUAUCAAGAGGAACACCUGAGGUGAAGACGGGUUGCUGGGCUGACACUGACGCUGAGGCACGAAGGCCAGGGGAGCAAACGGG